rnacentral:lncRNA from 1 species
GUGUGUGUACCUGCAGGACUCCCUCUGCCAGCAGCCAGUACAAACUAUUCCUCAACAUGUGGCCCAUUGUUCACCAGAAAGGUCAUCAGCUUCUUGACAUUGGUCCUCAAGGUCUGGGGCUCCUGGAGGUAUCCUGUCCCCCAGGCUGCUCCUGUCUCCCAGGCUGCUCCUGUCCCCCAGGCUGCUCCUGUCCCCCAGGCUGCUCCUGUCCCCCAGGCUGCUCCUGUCUCCCAGGCUGCUCCUGUCCCCCAGGCUGCUCCUGUCAGUUUCUGCCUUCCAGAAAACCCUGACCCACCCUCACAACCUCUCCCUGUGGAUGCAGCCUGUCUCCCUCCUCCCCCUUACAAAGGAAUGGCGUGCUGCACAGAGCCGCAGUGGGCAGCCCCAGGAUAAAAUGACACUGACUUCUGUCAGAACAGUUGACCUGAUCUGGCAGAUCAAUUAGAUAACAAAGCCUGAUAGGCCAGUUAGUUUGACAUUUAUCAUGAAUUCUUCAAACUAAACAUCCCAGUCCAAGGUUUUUGAUAGAAAUAUAUUGAAAGGCCUCCCAUUUUCUGACCCAGAACCUGACCUGAGUGAGGGCGGGAGGACCUGGCCUUGUUGAUGAACAUACCUGCAGAGCCUGGCUCCAAGCCUGGGGUGUUUGCAGAAUGACUGAUGCAGACAGCGAGUCGAGAGAGAGAACAAAAGCAGGAGAAAACAGGCCAGGCUCAGCAAAUCGGCACUCAGGACCAGGUGGUUUCUGCCUCGAUACAUCUAAGACCCAGGUUAACUGUCCCUGGGAGCUCGACCCUCAAAGUGCCUGGGAGUCUUCUGUGUGUCUCAAUUGUUUGUUCCUUUUUGUGGGGGGACUUAGGUGGGGAAGGGGCA